UGGGGAAUAUUGCACAAUGGGCGCAAGCCUGAUGCAGCAACGCCGCGUGAACGAUGAAGGUCUUCGGAUCGUAAAGUUCUGUUGCAGGGGAAGAUAAUGACGGUACCCUGUGAGGAAGCCCCGGCUAACUACGUGCCAGCAGCCGCGGUAAUACGUAGGGGGCUAGCGUUAUCCGGAUUUACUGGGCGUAAAGGGUGCGUAGGUGGUCUUUCAAGUCGGUGGUUAAAGGCUACGGCUCAACCGUAGUUAGCCUCCGAAACUGGAAGACUUGAGUGCAGGAGAGGAAAGUGGAAUUCCCAGUGUAGCGGUGAAAUGCGUAGAUAUUGGGAGGAACACCAGUAGCGAAGGCGGCUUUCUGGACUGCAACCGACACUGAGGCACGAAAGCGUGGGUAGCAAACAGG
rnacentral:rRNA from 1 species